GCCUCAUGCUUCAACUACCCCCUCUUUUGUUGAAGACGUCGAGAGUUAAGAGUCCCACAUUGAAAGCCUGGUGAUGAAAACAAGGCAGCAGCGAUUGUGGAAUCCCGGUGAGUCUCGAUCUCAUGUUCCUCAAAUUUUUGGUUGCGCGUUGGUCGGUGUUUCUGAAAACCGUACUCUGGUGAAAACGAAAACCAUUUUUGUUGAACUGUUGUAACUUAAUUUUCUGCAGGAGUUCACACUUUUGAAGCAUCAUGUUGGGAAAAUGUAAUCUGUUUAACAUUGCUUAUAAACAUUAAAGAGACUGGUGUCGAUAUGUCUUUUCAUUCUUGACUAACUUAAUUGUGUGUGUAUAUAUAGUGGGUCAGUCGAGACCCUUUGGAUUGGUUUUGUUAUGAAAAGUUGUCUGUUUGAACAAUGUUCCACUAAGCUCAAUGCUGUAAUGUUAAUCAUGGUGUGUAAAGGCUAUUAAACUCAUAUAUUUUAAUUUAUUAUUUUAAACCGCUACAAUAAAAUUUCUUGACUCAUAUCUAGCGACUUGUGUUAUGUUUUUGUAUAAUAUUCAAACUAGUUCGAGUAUGGUGUAUUUCUUCAAAAACAAAAUGUUUGUUAAUGGUAUUCUGAUGUGAGUGAGUCCAGUGUGUUUCCUUUGUGCUGGCACGUAUCUUUGUAGCUGUGGUUUGCCUCAGUAAAAUACAGGAGGCAUUUCCUACAAGAUACUUUUAAUCCGUUAUUAUAUGAAUGAUGUCUUGUUCUAAUGAGCUUAAUGUAUGAGA